rnacentral:rRNA from 1 species
GACGAACGCUGGCGGCGUGUUAACCCCUGCCAGUCGCACGGAAAGGCCCUGCUUUUGUGGGGUGCCCGAGUGGCGAACGGGUGAGUAACACGUGAGUAACCUGCCCUUGACUUUGGGAUAACUUCAGGAAACUGGGGCUAAUACCGGAUAGGAGCUCCUGCUGCAUGGUGGGGGUUGGAAAGUUUCGGCGGUUGGGGAUGGACUCGCGGCUUAUCAGCUUGUUGGUGGGGUAGUGGCUUACCAAGGCUUUGACGGGUAGCCGGCCUGAGAGGGUGACCGGCCACAUUGGGACUGAGAUACGGCCCAGACUCCUACGGGAGGCAGCAGUGGGGAAUAUUGCACAAUGGGCGGAAGCCUGAUGCAGCAACGCCGCGUGCGGGAUGACGGCCUUCGGGUUGUAAACCGCUUUCGCCUGUGACGAAGCGUGAGUGACGGUAAUGGGUAAAGAAGCACCGGCUAACUACGUG